AGCCACUUCAAGCGCUUGAGGACAAGGGAAGUUGCUGACUUGUUAAAGGUGGUUUCAUUUGAAAUCGCCAUGGGACUCAGACUGUUUAGCAAAAGCAUCAGUGAACACCUGCACCUCACCUGCCAUGCACGUGGGCCAAGUGACACCCAAGCUGUCCUGGGAGUGAGAAAUUGAAGUUAUUCACUAUCACCGGGCAGACAGUGUGCCCAGCUUCUUCAGGGAUAACGCUCAUGUUUACCACUGUCUGACAUGUCUCUGAGCACAGGACUCAGUCCAUGGCACUCCAGAGACAGAAGGAGGAAUAUAUCAGGGACCUUAAGAGUUGCCUUCUGGGGUCAACAUCUGUCAUUGCAGACAGUCCCCAAAACAUGGCCCCUUGGUAUUACUAAAAGCUACCUUGGAACAAGAGAUAGAGACAGCAGGGACAGCCAUGGAUACCCCCAGUGAUUUCCCUAAACACAGACAGACCUCCUCCUGCUUGUCACCCAGCUGCCUUACCACAUGACACCCUUACCCUUCAGCACCAAGGUCACCCACAGGCCCAAUGAUAAUUUCUCCAGUCAAGUACCUAAAGUCAGGAUAUUCCCUACAAAGUCUUUCACAUAACCUUGUAUCUGAGACACACUGGUUCCAUUCAUCCAGAGCCUGCUGUCAACAUUUCCCAGAGCAUCAGAGAUGGAGGGA
rnacentral:lncRNA from 1 species